UGGGAACUGAGGGGGCUGCUAAGAGCGUGCAAGUCGAGCGAAUGGAUUAAGAGCUUGCUCUUAUGAAGUUAGCGGCGGACGGGUGAGUAACACGUGGGUAACCUGCCCAUAAGACUGGGAUAACUCCGGGAAACCGGGGCUAAUACCGGAUAACAUUUUGAACCGCAUGGUUCGAAAUUGAAAGGCGGCUUCGGCUGUCACUUAUGGAUGGACCCGCGUCGCAUUAGCUAGUUGGUGAGGUAACGGCUCACCAAGGCAACGAUGCGUAGCCGACCUGAGAGGGUGAUCGGCCACACUGGGACUGAGACACGGCCCAGACUCCUACGGGAGGCAGCAGUAGGGAAUCUUCCGCAAUGGACGAAAGUCUGACGGAGCAACGCCGCGUGAGUGAUGAAGGCUUUCGGGUCGUAAAACUCUGUUGUUAGGGAAGAACAAGUGCUAGUUGAAUAAGCUGGCACCUUGACGGUACCUAACCAGAAAGCCACGGCUAACUACGUGCCAGCAGCCGCGGUAAUACGUAGGUGGCAAGCGUUAUCCGGAAUUAUUGGGCGUAAAGCGCGCGCAGGUGGUUUCUUAAGUCUGAUGUGAAAGCCCACGGCUCAACCGUGGAGGGUCAUUGGAAACUGGGAGACUUGAGUGCAGAAGAGGAAAGUGGAAUUCCAUGUGUAGCGGUGAAAUGCGUAGAGAUAUGGAGGAACACCAGUGGCGAAGGCGACUUUCUGGUCUGUAACUGACACUGAGGCGCGAAAGCGUGGGGGAGCAAACAGGAUUAGAUACCCUGGUAGUCCACGCCGUAAACGAUGAGUGCUAAGUGUUAGAGGGUUUCCGCCCUUUAGUGCUGAAAUUAACGCAUUAAGCACUCCGCCCGGGAGUACAGCCGCGCGGCUGGAUACUCAAAAGAAAUUGACAGGGGGCCCGCGCCAGCGGUGGAGCAUGUGGUUUUAUUUUAAAGCAGCGCGCAUCAACAUUACACGGCGUGGCGUGCGGCUGACAACACUACAGAUAUGGCUUCUGCUUCCGCGACCAGAGGGACAAGAGGUGCAGUGGUGGUCUGUGUUCUCCUGCCAUGAGAUGUUGUGGUUAAGUACGCGCAACGACCGCAACCCGUGCAUCUUCUUGCAUCAUCUACUUCUGUACUAGUUAGGUGAACUCUCCGGUGGAUCCAGCCGUAUGAGAGGGGAUGAGUCGAUUAAUCUAUCC
rnacentral:rRNA from 1 species